rnacentral:rRNA from 1 species
UACGAAGGGGGCUAGCGUUGUUCGGAAUUACUGGGCGUAAAGGGCGCGUAGGCGGUGUGUCAAGUCAGGCGUGAAAGCCCCGGGCUCAACCUGGGAACCGCGCUUGAGACUGGCACGCUCGAGUUCGGGAGAGGAUGGUGGAAUUCCCAGUGUAGAGGUGAAAUUCGUAGAUAUUGGGAAGAACACCGAUGGCGAAGGCAGCCAUCUGGACUGACACUGACGCUGAGGAGCGAAAGCGUGGGGAGCAAACAGG